UACAGAGGUCUCAAGCGUUGUCCGGAUUUAUUGGGUUUAAAGGGUGCGUAGGCGGGCCUUUAAGUCAGUGGUGAAAUCUCCCCGCUCAACGGGGAAACUGCCAUUGAUACUAUUGGUCUUGAAUUUAGUUGAGGUGGGCGGAAUGUGUCGUGUAGCGGUGAAAUGCUUAGAUAUGACACAGAACACCGAUUGCGAAGGCAGCUCGCUAAACUAAUAUUGACGCUGAGGCACGAAAGCGUGGGGAUCAAACAGG
rnacentral:rRNA from 1 species